GUGAUCUAGAUCCCGGGCGUACGAUCGAUCGCACGACGGGUUCGGGAGUGGCUAUUCCGAAGAGUCGGCAAGGGUUGAAAG
rfam:Mycobacterium sp. GA-1999 GCID_NTM_00005_NODE_11.ctg_1, whole genome shotgun sequence.